AACAUGUAGAUGGAGAAUGUUGUUGAUUCUUUUUUCUGUAUAGUUAAAAUGGCUAGUCGUAGGAUGUCUCUUAGGGUGCGUUUGGUUCGCAUUAUAAAAGAUUACUAGGAAUAAAAGAUAUCCGAGAAUCUUAUUUCUAUUAAUCCUAUUACUAAGAAUGUGGAAUUCCUGUGUUUGGUUCGCACGGUAAUAUUAAUUAGCCAUGUUAUUUAAUAUUACAAAAAAUAUACAAUUAAUUAAUUAAUUAAUUUAAUUAAUUUUAGAUAAUGUUACCAAAAGUUUCAACAUUUUUUAGAAAAAAGGGAGAGAGAGUAUAAGUUAGAGAGAGAGAGCAUAAUUAAAAAAAUAGAAAGAAAAAUAUAGUCGAAAUUAGAGAGUAAGAGAGUUGAAAUUUUAGAAAGAGAGAGAGAGAGAAAGCUUAGUUUAGAGAGAGAAAAAAAGUUGAAUUUUAGAGAGAAAAAUAAGUUUAGAGAGAGAUAUAAGGUUAGAGUAUAAAGAAAAAUAAUAUCAAUUAGCCGGCGGGUAGGAAGAAAGAAAGAGAUUAGACAUAUUAUGAUUACCCCAAUCCAUUAAUAUGAGGAUACCCACCCUCCCUCAAGGGAAUGAGAUUAGCACUUUGGGGUGAAUCUUAUUCCCAAGUGAAUCCAAUAUUACCAACUAGAUUACUUAGCGCGUUUAGCCAAACACCGUCAUAUUUUUUUAUUCCCAUUGGAUUACUAGAAAUCUUUAAAAGAUAGCGCGAACCAAACGCACCCUUAGUGUUCAUUAGGAUAGACAGUUAGUUAUGGAUGGAAAUGGUCCCCAAUAUGUCGGUGGUCGAAGGAAAGUUAUUGCGAUUCGUUCAUAUACGACCUAUACGAAUUUUGAGAUGAGAAUGUAUCGUUUUGUAAAUUGUAAUAGAGAAGAAUGUUGUCUUAAAUUCACAAUUCGAUAUCCUACAGGAGCGAAUGAAUAUAUUGCUCAUGAUAUAGUAGGUGAUGAAUCAUUGGAGGGAUUAAUUGGAUUGUUUGAACAUUAUGGAUGUGUGUUGCUAUACAUCGAGAAAGAUUUAAAUCCGUCAAAGA
rnacentral:lncRNA from 1 species